GAUGAACGCUAGCGGGAGGCCUAACACAUGCAAGCCGAGCGGUAUUGUUUCUUCGGAAAUGAGAGAGCGGCGUACGGGUGCGUAACACGUGUGCAACCUGCCUUUAUCUGGGGGAUAGCCUUUCGAAAGGAAGAUUAAUACUCCAUAAUAUAUUGAACGGCAUCGUUUAAUAUUGAAAGCUCCGGCGGAUAGAGAUGGGCACGCGCAAGAUUAGCUAGUUGGUGAGGUAACGGCUCACCAAGGCGAUGAUCUUUAGGGGGCCUGAGAGGGUGAUCCCCCACACUGGUACUGAGACACGGACCAGACUCCUACGGGAGGGAGCAGUGAGGAAUAUUGGUCAAUGGGUGCAAGCCUGAACCAGCCAUCCCGCGUGAAGGACGACUGCCCUAUGGGUUGUAAACUUCUUUUGUAUAGGGAUAAACCUACCCUCGUGAGGGUAGCUGAAGGUACUAUACGAAUAAGCACCGGCUAACUCCGUG
rnacentral:rRNA from 1 species